rnacentral:lncRNA from 10 species
GGGAAAGCCGGCUGGAGGGGUCUGGGCGGGGCUCAGGUCGGUGCUGGUGUUUAGCGGGGGCCCAACACACCUCGGUCUCCUCACCCACCUAAGCGGGGAGAGUGGCGCACAACGUGGCCUGACUCCAUCCUCUGGUAUCUCGUGCCUCAGUUUCCCAUCUGUAAAUGGAACACACGCGAUUUCAGCCGCCGUUCAACCUUUCUAAAAGCUUUCACAUCCAUUAUCUGACUGGUGUCUCAAACUGCUACUGAGGCUUCAGCUCUGAUCUGGACCAGUGCUCUCCAGGCCUACUGCACAGCUGUCAUACUGAACUUUCCUAUAUCCUACACCUGGUUGGGAUUCCCUGUGCCCUGGACCUUGUGUCUCAAACUUCUAGAUUGUGGAUUUACUCUGUCAUCUCUGUGCAGCACAUCUUUCUGUAGAUUCCUGAGAAAGGUUGCAAAGAAGCAAAUAUAUUUAGUCCUUGUAUGUCUAAAUAUGCAUUUAUACUGUUUUCACACUUGAUUAAUAGUUUAGCAGGGUAUAGAAAUCUAGGCUGAAGGCCAGGCGCCAUGUCUUAUGCCUGUAAUCCCAGCACUUUGGGAGGUCGAGGCAGGCAGAUCACCUGAGGUCAAGUGUUUG